CACGGGGGAGCAAGCGUUGUUCGGAAUCACUGGGCGUAAAGGGCGUGUAGGCGGUUGUGUAAGUGGGAUGUGAAAUGCCUCGGCUUACCCGGGGACCUGCAUCCCAUACUGCAUGACUUGAGUACGGGAGAGGAUGAGGAAUUCCUGGUGUAGCGGUGAAAUGCGUAGAUAUCAGGAGGAACACCGGUGGCGAAGGCGCUCAUCGUGCCCGAUACUGACGCUGAGGCGCGAAAGCUAGGGUAGCGAACGG
rnacentral:rRNA from 1 species